rnacentral:rRNA from 1 species
CACGUAGGUGGCAAGCGUUGUCCGGAAUUACUGGGCGUAAAGGGCUCGUAGGCGGCCAACUAAGUCAGACGUGAAAUCCCUCGGCUUAACCGGGGAACUGCAUCUGAUACUGGAUGGCUUGAGUUCGGGAGAGGGAUGCGGAAUUCCUGGUGUAGCGGUGAAAUGCGCAGAUAUCAGGAGGAACACCGAUGGCGAAGGCAGCUCGCUGGGACGGUACUGACGCUGAGGCGCGAAAGCGUGGGGAGCAAACAGG